GGAGAGAAGAGGAGGAUAAAGAGGUGGAGAGUAGAGGAGGAUAAUAGAGGAGGAGGGUAGAGGAGGAUAAUAGAGGAGGAGGGUAGAGGAGGAUAAUAGAGGUGGAUAGCAGAGGAGGAUAAAGAGGUGUCGGGUAGAGGAGGAUAAUGGAGGAUGAAAGUAGAGGAGGAUAAUAGAAGUGGAUUGCAGAUGGGGAUAAAGAUAUGUUGAGUAGAGAAGGAUAAUAGAGGAGGAGAAUAGAGGAGGAUAAUAGAGGUUGAUAGCAGAGGAGGAUAAAGAUAUGUUGAGUAGAGGAGGAUAAUAGAGGUGGGGAAUAAAGGAGGAUACAGGUGGAGAGUAGAGGAGGAGAGUAUAGGUGGAGAGUAGAGAAAGUAUAAUAGAGGAGGAGAGUAGAGGGGUAUAAGAGAGGUGGAGAGUAGAGGGGGAUAAUAGAGGUGGAGAGUAGAGGAGUAUAAUAGAGGAGGAGUGUAGAGGAGGAUAAUAGAGGUGGAGAGUAGAGGAGGAUAAUAGAGGUGUAGAGUAGAGGAGGAUAAUAGAGGUGUAGAGUAGAGGAGGAUAAUAGAGGUGGGGAAUAGAGGGGGAUAGAGGUGGAGAGUAGAGGAGGAGAGUAGAGGUGGAGAGUAGAGGAGCAUAAUAGAGGAGGAGAGUAGAGGAGUAUAAUAGAAGUGGAGAGUAGAAGGGGAUAAAAGAGGAGGAGAGUAGAGGAGGAUAAUAGAGGUGGAGAGUAGAGGAGGAUAAUAGAGGUGGGGAAUAAAGGAGGAUAGAGGUGGAGAG
ensembl:lncRNA